rnacentral:rRNA from 1 species
GACGAACGCUGGCGGCGUGCUUAACACAUGCAAGUCGAACGGAAAGGCCCUGCUUUUGUGGGGUGCUCGAGUGGCGAACGGGUGAGUAACACGUGAGUAACCUGCCCUUGACUUUGGGAUAACUUCAGGAAACUGGGGCUAAUACCGGAUAGGAGCUCCUGCUGCAUGGUGGGGGUUGGAAAGUUUCGGCGGUUGGGGAUGGACUCGCGGCUUAUCAGCUUGUUGGUGGGGUAGUGGCUUACCAAGGCUUUGACGGGUAGCCGGCCUGAGAGGGUGACCGGCCACAUUGGGACUGAGAUACGGCCCAGACUCCUACGGGAGGCAGCAGUGGGGAAUAUUGCACAAUGGGCGGAAGCCUGAUGCAGCAACGCCGCGUGCGGGAUGACGGCCUUCGGGUUGUAAACCGCUUUCGCCUGUGACGAAGCGUGAGUGACGGUAAUGGGUAAAGAAGCACCGGCUAACUACGUGCCAGCAGCCGCGGUGAUACGUAGGGUGCGAGCGUUGUCCGGAUUUAUUGGGCGUAAAGGGCUCGUAGGUGGUUGAUCGCGUCGGAAGUGUAAUCUUGGGGCUUAACCCUGAGCGUGCUUUCGAUACGGGUUGACUUGAGGAAGGUAGGGGAGAAUGGAAUUCCUGGUGGAGCGGUGGAAUGCGCAGAUAUCAGGAGGAACACCAGUGGCGAAGGCGGUUCUCUGGGCCUUUCCUGACGCUGAGGAGCGAAAGCGUGGGGAGCGAACAGGCUUAGAUACCCUGGUAGUCCACGCUGUAAACGGUGGGUACUAGGUGUGGGGUCCAUUCCACGGGUUCCGUGCCGUAGCUAACGCUUUAAGUACCCCGCCUGGGGAGUACGGCCGCAAGGCUAAAACUCAAAGGAAUUGACGGGGCCCCGCACAAGCGGCGGAGCAUGCGGAUUAAUUCGAUGCAACGCGUAGAACCUUACCUGGGUUUGACAUGGAUCGGGAGCGCUCAGAGAUGGGUGUGCCUCUUUUGGGGUCGGUUCACAGGUGGUGCAUGGCUGUCGUCAGCUCGUGUCGUGAGAUGUUGGGUUAAGUCCCGCAACGAGCGCAACCCUUGUUCACUGUUGCCAGCACGUUAUGGUGGGGACUCAGUGGAGACCGCCGGGGUCAACUCGGAGGAAGGUGGGGAUGACGUCAAGUCAUCAUGCCCCUUAUGUCCAGGGCUUCACGCAUGCUACAAUGGCUGGUACAGAGAGUGGCGAGCCUGUGAGGGUGAGCGAAUCUCGGAAAGCCGGUCUCAGUUCGGAUCGGGGUCUGCAACUCGACCUCAUGAAGUCGGAGUCGCUAGUAGUCGCAGAUCAGCAACGCUGCGGUGAAUACGUUCCCGGG